AUUGAACGCUGGCGGCAUGCCUUACACAUGCAAGUCGAACGGUAACGGGCCUUCGGGUGCCGACGAGUGGCGAACGGGUGAGUAAUGUAUCGGAACGUACCUUUCAGUGGGGGAUAACGUAGCGAAAGUUACGCUAAUACCGCAUAUUCUGUGAGCAGGAAAGCAGGGGAUCGCAAGACCUUGCGCUGAUUGAGCGGCCGAUAUCAGAUUAGCUAGUUGGUGAGGUAAAGGCUCACCAAGGCGACGAUCUGUAGCGGGUCUGAGAGGAUGAUCCGCCACACUGGAACUGAGACACGGCCCAGACUCCUACGGGAGGCAGCAGUGGGGAAUAUUGCACAAUGGGCGAAAGCCUGAUGCAGCGACGCCGCGUGAGGGAUGAAGGCCUUCGGGUUGUAAACCUCUUUCAGUAGGGAAGAAGCGCAAGUGACGGUACCUACAGAAGAAGCACCGGCUAACUACGUG
rnacentral:rRNA from 1 species